AUUAGUGGCGAACGGGUGAGUAACACGUGGGCAAUCUGCCCUGCACUCUGGGACAAGCCCUGGAAACGGGGUCUAAUACCGGAUACUGACCACUGGGGGCAUCUUCAGUGGUCGAAAGCUCCGGCGGUGCAGGAUGAGCCCGCGGCCUAUCAGCUUGUUGGUGAGGUAGUGGCUCACCAAGGCGACGACGGGUAGCCGGCCUGAGAGGGCGACCGGCCACACUGGGACUGAGACACGGCCCAGACUCCUACGGGAGGCAGCAGUGGGGAAUAUUGCACAAUGGGCGAAAGCCUGAUGCAGCGACGCCGCGUGAGGGAUGACGGCCUUCGGGUUGUAAACCUCUUUCAGCAGGGAAAAAGCGAAAGUGACGGUACCUGCAAAAAAAGCGCCGNCUAACUACGUGCCAGCAGCCCNGGUANUACGUANGGGGCGAGCGUUGUCCG
rnacentral:rRNA from 1 species